UACAGAGGGUGCAAGCGUUAAUCGGAAUUACUGGGCGUAAAGCGUGCGUAGACGGUUAUUUAAGUCAGGUGUGAAAGCCCCGGGCUCAACCUGGGAAUUGCAUUUGAGACUGAAUAGCUAGGGUGCGGAAGAGGGAAGCGGAAUUUCCGGUGUAGCGGUGAAAUGCGUAGAUAUCAGGAGGAACACCAGCGGCGAAGGCGGCGCUCUGGGCUGGAACUGACGCUGAGGAGCGAAAGCGUGGGGAGCGAACAGG
rnacentral:rRNA from 1 species